rnacentral:rRNA from 1 species
AUGGUUCGGUCGAAGGGAAGAAGAAAGUACGGCGAAGGCUGGCACGCCGCGACGGCGGCGGUGCUCGGCAACGGCAACCUCCUCCACCAGAUCCUGAUCCACGUCGGCUACCCCACCUCCCUCCUCUGCGCCGCUCUCGUCUCCAAGCAGUGGCUCCGCCACGUCACUGACCCGGACUUCCUCCACGGCUUCCACGGGCGCGACGAUGUCGGCUGCCACUCCCGCCACCAGCUGAGACGCCUUCGCCAACAAUGCGUGGUUGACGAGGAAGACGCCAUGGAGGAGGCGGGACCUAAACAGCUUGCCAGCGUCGAAGGCUGGCGGUGGAACGGAGCGGAGGCCACCUUGUGCGGUAGCUCUUCUUGUUAA